rnacentral:rRNA from 1 species
UACGUAUGGGGCAAGCGUUGUCCGGAAUCAUUGGGCGUAAAGAGCGUGUAGGCGGCCCGAUAAGUCCGCUGUGAAAGUCCAGGGCUCAACCCUGGGAUGCCGGUGGAUACUGUCGGGCUCGAGUCCGGAAGAGGAGUGUGGAAUUCCUGGUGUAGCGGUGAAAUGCGCAGAUAUCAGGAGGAACACCAAUGGCGAAGGCAGCACUCUGGGACGUGACUGACGCUGAGACGCGAAAGCGUGGGGAGCAAACAGG